GCUUCGCUUAUUAAUUGGAAAUUUGAAAUACAGGCAGGUAAAUUACAAAUACAAGCAAGACCCUACUGGGCAAGAAAAACAAGCCUCAAAGCAAACACUAGAUAACAAAGCCAACAACCAGCAUGGAGCAACAAGUUACAAAAACAUUCUCUCCAAUGUGCAUGGUGAGACUGAUCAAAUAAGCAGUUGUUGCUCCCUGGGUAACUGGUCAUUACUUGAAUUAUAAAGACAUGAGACAAAUAAAAUAGCAGGAAAAUCAAUUUCUUCUAAAACCAUCCAGUGACACUUAUUGGAAGAUAUAAAUAUUAAUUGUAUCCUUGCAAAGAUUUCGGUUUUCACUUCCAACCCAGAAAUAAGCUGCUUGAUCACUUUGCGAUGCUUUACACAGUAUGUGUUUUGGAUCCAUCUCCAUUCAAGUCUUCAGUUCCUUUCCCACAGAAAACAUGACGAUACCAAGGUUUCUUCUUUGGCAAUUUUGGGGUUGAAGACUCCUCUAUGAAAUCAAUUUCCAGGUCAUGGAUGUCCAUGAUCUUUGACCAUUCUGGUCCUCCUUCCUUUUUGCAUUGCUCAGUCAGCUCCGGACAUUUUUCGAUGUACAAAUGUCGGAGAGAAGUAGGAAGGCCAUCCUCAGGAAAGGACCGCAGCAGAGGACAGUCCUCAAUGUAAAGGUCUUUGAGCGAGGUAAGGCUCUUCAAAGUCUCCUUGCUGCCUAGAGACUGCAAUUUGCUGCAAGAGCUAACACUCAAACACUCUAGGAGAGUUGGUAGCCCUUCAUUUGGCAAUGUCAAAAGUUUUUGACAGCCUUGAAUGGAUAAUAACCUGAGCGAUGUUAAGCUUCGAAAUGAUUCUUCUUCUUCAGAUAAAGACUCAAGAUCGUCACAAUUAUGGAUGUGCAAAGCCUUGAGCCCUGGAAGAUGAGGCAAUUUCGGUAAAGAUACUACAUUUGCCAUAUUGGAAAUGACCAGGGAGUAGAGAGAGCUCGUUUCAGGUAUUUUCCUCAGUAAAAUUCUAUUAUUGCUUCUGUCUAGUGCUAAAUGCUGAAGACGCCGUGAAAACCCUGUAGGCGGGAGGGCAGUCAACAGUUCACAUCCACUUAUCUCUAGUUUCUGCGGAGCAAAGACUCGGGGAAGUGCUUCCAGCUUGGGGCAGUCAAUGACUUUCAUCUCCAGAAGACCCAUGAAAGAAUGAUGGAUUUGGCUGACAUUCUCUCCUUGAUCAUUUCUGGAGAUUAAUUGCAGUACUUUUUCUUGCCAAUCCUCGAGAACAAGAUUGUCAACAAGUGUCAGAAAAAUCAGAGAUGGGGUCACGGGAAGAGCUUUCAAUGAAGCACAUCUUUUGAUCUUCAAAACUCUCAGGUAAGGCAAGAACUCAGUUAACUCUGUCAGUCUGUUGCAGUCACUAAUCCUUAGCUGAAGUAGGGAGGAGCAUUGCAGUAUUUCCAACUCCUGCAUCUUUUUAAUAUGGAGAGACCUGAGGCUGGGUAGUUGAUCAAAGGAGAGGACUUUGCAUUUUGUGCAAUUAUACAAGGAAAUGCUGACCAGCUUCCUGAGCUGCCCAUCUGUCAUCCAAGGUGGAAAUCUAGCUCCUCCGUAGUGAGAAAUUGCAAGCUCCUUGAGAUCUGAGUGAGGUUGAAGACGUUCAAGCACGGUCUCUUCUGCUGCUUCAUCUUGUGAACUGACUUCUCUGCUAGUCCACUCAAAAACUAUCUUCUCAAGCCUCUCCUUCUCAUUCAGUUUAGCCUCUGCUGCAUCAACUGCAUUUUCAAGGUUUGAAAUAUGCAAUGUUCCUGUAAGAUGCGCCAUCUCUUUCAAUUGUCUGAGUUCAUAUCCAGUCUGGUUGCCAACCCUGAAUGUGUGCAGAUUGUGCAGCCCUUUUAAGCUUCCAAUAUUUGGUGGCAAAGUUUUGCAUUUGAACCAGAACAUAUCAUCCAACUCAAGAAAACAGAGAUUAACCAAAUUGCCAAGGUCCUUAGGGAGCUCGAAAAGCCAAAGGCACCUCAAGAGUUUCAGAGUUUGUAGAUUGCACAAGUUGCAUAUUGAGUUGGGAAGUUCUUUGAUUUCUGUCUGAGAGAGGUCAAGGUAGUGCAACAGCUUUAACUCUUCAAUAGAGCUUGGCAAUUCGAGAAGCGUGCUUGAACUCAAAUCCAAGGCACGAAGGUAUUUCAAUGAAUGAAACAACUUAUCAAGGACCUGACAAAAAUUCUUCAAGUGCUCACGAGGCAAUAGGAGUGUGCGCAGCUUCUUGGAAUUAUCAGCUAUCUUCAUGAAAGGCUCUUCAACAUUUUGACAAAGCAGGGAAACAUGACGCCAAUUUUGAGAAUUUCCAGGGUGGAUAUCUGAUUCGUUAUCCUUGACUAGGCAACAUUGAGAACCUGAAAUUGAUAGUGCUAAUUCAUGGAUAAGAUCAUGCAUUCUGUAUAGCACCUUCUUGUCGAUGUUCAGCAGUUGGAAGAAAGACCUCGUGAGCAACAAAUCAAAAUAUUCAGCUCCAGUCUCCUCUGCGUUAUUUUCUCCUGUGGGAAGAAUGAAGGAUUGAGCCAUCCAGAGUUGGACCAACUGUUUCUUAUCGAAAGCAUAGGCCUUGGGAAAUAUAGAACAGAAAGCAAAACAUUGCUUCAGAUGAGAU
rnacentral:misc_RNA from 1 species